rnacentral:rRNA from 1 species
ACUGGAAUCGCUAGUAAUCGCGGAUCAGAAUGCCGCGGUGAAUACGUUCCCGGGUCUUGUACACACCGCCCGUCACACCAUGGGAGUCGGUAACGCCCGAAGUCAGUGACCCAACCGAGAGGAGGGAGCUGCCGAAGGCGGGACUGGUAACUGGGGUGAAGUCGUAACAAGGUAUC